rnacentral:rRNA from 1 species
UCUUCCACAAUGGGCGAAAGCCCGAUGCAGCGACGCCGCGUGAGGGAUGACGGCCUUCAGGUUGUAAACCUCUUUCAGUAGGGAAGAAGCGAGAGUGACGGUACCUGCAGAAGAAGCGCCGGCUAACUACGUGCCAGCAGCCGCGGUAAUACGUAGGGCGCAAGCGUUAUCCGGAUUUAUUGGGCGUAAAGAGCUCGUAGGCGGUUUGUCGCGUCUGCCGUGAAAGUCCGAGGCUCAACCUCGGAUCUGCGGUGGGUACGGGCAGACUAGAGUGAUGUAGGGGAGACUGGAAUUCCUGGUGUAGCGGUGAAAUGCGCAGAUAUCAGGAGGAACACCGAUGGCGAAGGCAGGUCUCUGGGCAUUUACUGACGCUGAGGAGCGAGAGCAUGGGGAGCGAACAGG